rnacentral:rRNA from 1 species
GACGAACGCUGGCGGCGUGCCUAAUACAUGCAAGUAGAACGCAGUUGCGAACGGGUGAGUAACGCGUAGGUAACUGCCUCAUAGCGGGGGAUAACUAAUGGAAACGAUAGCUAAUACCGCAUACUGGGAGAUGGACCUGCGUUGUAUUAGCGAGUUGGUGAGGUAAAGGCUCACCAAGGCGACGAUACAUACCCGACCUGGGAGGGGGAUCGGCCAACCUGGGACUGAGACCCGGCCCAGACCCCUCAUGGAGGCAGCAGUAGGGAAACUUCGGCAAUGGACGGAAGUCUGACCGAGCAACGCCGCGUGAGUGAAGAAGGUUUUCGGAUCGUAAAGCUCUGUUGGUAGAGAAGCGGUAGCUAACCAGAAAGGGACGGCUAACUACGUGCCAGCAGCCGCGGUAAUAC